AGCUGCCUGCAAUGCCUUAACUUUUAAGGAAAGACUGCAAAAUAUAUUGUCCUGGUGAAGGUCUUGUUAGGCGUUUUUCUCCGGCAGACUUCAAAUUAUGGAAAAAGUUCAUCUGCCAUUCUCAGAGCGGCCUAAUGAAACCCCAGACCAUGCACUUUGAGCUACACUAUGCUUAACGACUGGCCACAGAAUAAGAACCAAUGGAUGAAAUCAAUAUCUAGCUGCAUAAUCCUGUUUGCUGGAAUUUGGAGAACGUUGACAACAGCAAGCGAUGAGAAAUCAACCACUGAUGCUGCUCUCCAUCUUGGUCGGGGCCAUGUUGUGCCGAGCAAGAUAUUCCUAUAAGUGCCAGCCUCUCGAAAGCAGCGAGUACUACAGUUUUAAUGACAUGGCCCAUUACAUCGUCUCGCAGCAGAAACACAUUAGCUUCUAUAACACGGUCCUCGAGGUCACAUGUGUAUGUUCAGCGUAUGACCCUGAAAAAUACUACCAGAUCGCAUUCACCAUCGCACCGACUUACUGCAACUCUCGUAUCAAGUACGACAAUCAAGUCUGCCAACCCAUCACCACAGAUGCAAUCGGGAAAUGCCAGGCCAAGGUGCAAGGGGAGCCGUCGGACAAACAGUGGAAUAUGACGGACUUCACCUGCGCGCCUCCUGAUCCAUCAGAUACAUUUAGCUCACUCUGCAAUUAAAUUGAGUAAUUACUCAGCGCUA